UGGGUUUGCAGUUUUAACCUCAUUGUAGUCAUUAAACACUCAAUCUUGUACCUUGUCCACGUUCGAUUUUGGAUUUUUUUUUUUUUUUCUUCAGUUGAAAGUGUGUAAUCUUGCGAUUUAGCUGGUUUGGUAACGGUUUAGAACGCUUUAACCAAGAUUUAAAAAAAAAAAAAAAAUCUCCCGGAAUCGGCGAUAUAGAAGAAUUGGGCGGGCACGCACUGAAUGCACUUGAGGCACUUCUCUAACGGUCGUGGACUUCUCAACUCGAGCAAAGCGAGCGAAGUUUGGCCACAGCACUCCUGACCUCUACCCAAGGCGCCAUAGCAGUCCUGAGCUCAACCCAAGAGACAAUAGCAGGCACAUUAUCACUGAGGCACAUCAGCUCUGAGAUUCAUCCAUUAAGGCAUGCCAGCAGUGAGAUCCACACAUCAAGCAACACCAGCACUGAGAGGAAGUCAUGCCAGCUCUGAGAUCCAUAGACCAAGCCAUGCUGCACCUUCUCUAGUCCCAUCAAAGCAUACUGAGCCACACCAGGGAGCAGACAUCUAGUUUGCAAACAUCGGCUGUGAGGCGUAACGGUCUGAUGUCUGCGGCCACAGAUAAGGACAUUGAUUCCACCAUCAAAAGAUUGCUAUAUCUGGCCCCAGAUAGUGAUGGUGGCAGGAGAGAGAGGAUGAAGAGAAAAGAGCGUCAGGAGAGUACAACAGGUUAACGGACUUGCGACUUGUUUUAAUGUUCAAGAGUUGUGUGCACAGUGCCACUUGUUCAUGAACUGAAACUUAGAUGUUCAAGAGCUGUGUGAAACAUGGCACUGACAUUCAAGCAUUGUUUUUUGUUGUUUUGUUUAAAUGUGAAACAAUAAAUAUUUUUUCAGAAUACUAUUGUUGUUCAGGCAUUUUUCAUUUGGGCCAAGGGUGUGUAUAAAGUGGCUAGAUUAAGGUUUUGUUGAGGCUGACAUGUGGAACCAAAUGUUUGGUCCUGAAUAGUACCAGAAUAGGGCCAGCUAUAGUCACACAUUAGGCUGAAAUAUGGCUAUGCCAUGGGCCAUAUGUGGCCCGAGUUCUGGCAACCAGACCUGGUCCAGUCAUGUACCGUAAUUCACUGCUGUAUUUGGGCCAAGAGAAAGUGGGUUGUGUGGCCCAUCACUGGGCCAAACCAGUUUUGCUA